AACUAGCAGUGGAGACCAUUUCUACAAAAGCUCUACAUAGAACUGAGCAAUUGUUUAGACAUGCUUGGAAGCCGUGUGGGUACAAUACAAAGCUUUGUCUUUUUUCUUUACUUAGAUCUUGGUGCAGAUUCCCUCUGGGAACACCUGGACCACAUCCAAAUCCACACCUCUGUCUUCAUGAGCUUCUAAUUACCUGGCUGAGUUGCACUGAUUAGGAUAAAGUUACCUCUGCAUACACUGAGGAAGAGCAGAAAAAUACAUAACUUCCUCUCUGGGAUGCAGAAUACUGUCACCUGUGCUAGAGCUUUAAAGCUGAUUUUCUGUCUGCUCCCAAUUCCUCUGCAGAGAGGUGUUUUGAGGGCAAGUAUUCCUGGAGCAAAGCCUCUCACGUGUCAUCGCUGUGAGAUUCUAGGAGGCUCCUGGACUGCUGACUCAAGAGAGGCAUCUCCAUCUUCCACUGCCUCAUCCAUAAGGAGGCACAGAGGCCAUAGGGUCUUCACUGUGUGAAACAGAGAUGGGCUCUUGGAGAAAGUCCUGAGAAGGCAUGCUGUGACAGCAAAGAGCAUCAGUGGUGUCAGCAAAUGUGUUCAUACCAAACUGUUGGUGAUAGCUGGAACUGUAAGAGAGGUGGCUGGGGAAGUGAAGAAGAUUUGGACAUGGUGCCCUGUGGCAGUUACAUGCGUUAACAAAUCAUUCACGAAUCCCUGGAAAUCCAGAGACCACAGUUUGGAAGCUACUGAACUACCAAGCAAGAUAUGUGGAUGUGGCAGCUGGAAGACACUUUCUCCACUCUCCUUGAAUUAAUAAAGUAAAAAGAUGCCACUAUUAAAACAGGCUGUAAACUGAAUGUAUUUCAACUGCAGUUAUUUCUUCGUCUUCUCUCUUCCUUCUAUCUUCCUUUUCCACACAGAGACAAAGGGUAACAUUCUCAGCCCCUGCUGGCUUUCAGCUGACUGCUCCCCACAUGUGCGAAGCCACGGGAAAGUGAUGUUUUCCUCCACUGCUAUCAAGCAGUACUGUCAGUGUUAAGAUCAAGUGGGAGUGAAAAGCAGCUUGGAGAAGAGAGUUCUAUGAAAUAAUAGCUCUACACAGAGAUUCAAAACAAGCAGCUUUGCGAAAAGCCAUCUUUUAGAAGAUGACAGUGAAGGUUGAUGUGAUUUUAGAAUUGUUUAUGCAAUCUGUACCUUUCUUAAUCUACUUUUUAAAUUUUUUUUCUUCUAUGGCUCAGGUAAACACACACACACAAAUGUAACAGAAUUAGAUAAUGUUCUGUAUAGAAAUGGGUGCAUAUAUUCACAGCGAUCUGCCUGAAGCUCUCCAAAAUCUGAGGAGCAGAUUUUAAUUUGCGUUCACUUCUGCUUUAUUAUCAAGUUUGCAUCCCUAUUUGGUAAAAAGAAGUGGCAUUAAACAAAGGUGCUGCUAAUAAUGACAUCAGCUAUUGCCUUUUGCUGUCUGCUCUCAAAAGCUCAAAGCCAAAUACUCUGCCUCACUGGAGGUGCUGCAGAUCAUUUAUGUUUUACAGCUUUGUGUCACAAUGCUCUCCUAAAAUAAGAGCUGACUGCAAGAUAUUGAAACAAACACAGCAAGAGACAACUUCCACUGUAAUGGAUCCUCAGCCUAUGAAUAUAAAAGGUAGGAGGGAGGCCAUUUUUCCCAGAUAUGUAACAGAUCUGUCUGGUUUGGAUGUCAUGAUGGCAUGUUAUGGUUUAAUCGUACUGGUAACUCACACAGGUAAGUAAUCCGAGGUAGAUACUGAAAAAACAGCUGCUAAAUGUGGCACACUUUGAUCAGCGCCCUGAGAACCCACGAUCUAUAGGGCAAGGGAUGCAGCAGGGUAAAGGGAAUGGGUAUCGUAUGGGCUGUUCAGCUUAGAGAGUGAACAGCUUUGCUGUUGUUCACUAAGAAUGCAGACAGUGGAACACAGCAAUAGGGAAAUAGGACAUAGCUUUUGUGAGCAAAGGCCUUGGCUGUUAAGGCUGCACGUUCCCUGUUAGGAAUGUUGGAAUCCUGUUGCGUGUCUAUGUAACAAUAAAACCGCAGAACUGUACCAGGUGGCAGCUGCAACAUUCUGAUUCUGACCAGCAGAAUUGUUUGGCUGUACUGAUAAGCAGCACUUCUCUU